UGAAGAUUCUAAAAAUUGUUAUUUCAAACAAAAUGAAAAUGGUUUUAGCUAAUUAUUUAACUACUAAAUCAGUGUCAUUUGAAAUAAAACAGAAAUCAACAAUAUUUUGUCUUUAAAAAAAGAAAUGAAAAGAAAAUGGAAGGUUUCGUUGUCAACAGCACAUAACAAAUUGUUAUUUAUUUAUUUAUGUAUUUAUUUAUUUUGUGUUAAUAGAAGCAAUCGCCAGUUGAUGACGUCAGUCAGCUGAAGUGGGAUAAAGCCGAUUUUAGAAGUGAACCAGAAAAACUAGAAGACAGAUCCUCUCUUCAGAGGAAGGAUGGAGACACAAAGGAACAGCCACCAUGUAGAGAUGACAGUCAGCUGGUUUUGGAUGAAAAAUGUCCGACAAGUACAGAAGUAGAGUCGGAAGAUAGACAAUCUUUUGCAAAAAAAGUCGAAGAACAACAG